rnacentral:rRNA from 1 species
GUGGGGAAUUUUGGACAAUGGGCGCAAGCCUGAUCCAGCAAUGCCGCGUGCAGGAAGAAGGCCUUCGGGUUGUAAACUGCUUUUGUACGGAACGAAACGGUCCUGGUUAAUACCUGGGGCUAAUGACGGUACCGUAAGAAUAAGCACCGGCUAACUACGUGCCAGCAGCCGCGGUAAUACGUAGGGUGCGAGCGUUAAUCGGAAUUACUGGGCGUAAAGCGUGCGCAGGCGGUGCUGUAAGACAGGCGUGACAUCCCCGGGCUCAACCUGGGAAUUGCGCUUGUGACUGCAGUGCUGGAGUACGGCAGAGUGGGAUGGAAUUCCGCGUGUAGCAGUGAAAUGCGUAGAUAUGCGGAGGAACACCGAUGGCGAAGGCAGUCCCCUGGGCCUGUACUGACGCUCAUGCACGAAAGCGUGGGGAGCAAACAGGAUUAGAAACCCCGGUAGUCC